UUCGUGCACCAGCUGCUGUUUACAAAAAUACAUAGACUGCCGCCUCUUGUCUUACCAGACGCCGCUGUUCUAUCCUGCCGGUACAUCGUAUAACCAGCCAUUAUGUGUGAGAUGAGUGUUUCUUAGAUGUUUGUGUGUGUGUUGGGUUUGUGUGUGAUUUAUUUAGGCGUUCAUUGCUUCUGUGUGUUUGUAUAUGUCUUAUAUGCAUUGCCAUUUUGUCGCUGAUGGCAUCUCUUAAAUGUAUCCCAGUUUUUCACCUCAGUCUAUCUCAUCCAGGGCCGUGGAGAUGGAGGUUGCCCCCUCCUCAGGAAGAAGCUGGGUUACCUGCGUCAAGAGAACGACUCCCUGGAGAACAGACAGCUCAUUAGGGACCUGGAGGUGGCCCAGAUUGAACUGAGCAGCUCCAAGACCAAGGUCUGUCUCCUGGGCUCCACAGUAGGGGCUAAGACCUCCAGUGUGACUGUCACGAGAUAACAGAUCCUGGGCUUGGAGGCCGAUGUAGAGGCCCAAGCCAAAGAACUCCGUGAGCUGAAGGACGAGGUCACCCAGGCACGAACACAGGCCGCCGAGGUCCAGGGACGUCUGGAGGAGGCUGCCCAGCAGUCCUCGCGGCUGGGAUGGAGCUGGGCGAGUGGGCCUUGGCAGCCAGGGAGCUGGCCUCUCCACAGGGAGACGGAGCACAGUGCCAGGAACACAGGCUGGCCCGGUGCCGGAGAGAGAACCAGUAGAGCCAGGCUGAAUGAGCUAGUCUGGAGAACAUACUGAGUCUGAGAGGUAUGGAAUAGUCUCACACACAUUAUAUAUACAAAACUAUGUGAACACCCCUUAAAAUUAGUGGAUUUGGC